rnacentral:rRNA from 1 species
AACGAACGCUGGCGGCAUGCCUAACACAUGCAAGUCGAACGAGACCUUCGGGUCUAGUGGCGCACGGGUGCGUAACGCGUGGGAACCUGCCCUUAGGUUCGGAAUAACUCCCCGAAAGGGGUGCUAAUACCGGAUAAUGUCUUCGGACCAAAGAUUUAUCGCCUUUGGAUGGGCCCGCGUUGGAUUAGCUAGUUGGUAGGGUAAAAGCCUACCAAGGCGACGAUCCAUAGCUGGUCUGAGAGGAUGAUCAGCCACACUGGGACUGAGACACGGCCCAGACUCCUACGGGAGGUAGCAGUGGGGAAUAUUGGACAAUGGGCGAGAGCCUGAUCCAGCAAUGCCGCGUGAGUGAUGCAGGCCUUAGGGUUGUAAAGCUCUUUUACCCGGGAUGAUAAUGACAGUACCGGGAGAAUAAGCUCCGGCUAACUCCGUG